rnacentral:lncRNA from 10 species
AAAAAAAUGAAGAGUUUAGUCAACAACUGUGGCCAAUCACUGCAGUUCCCAGAAGCAGUGAUAUCAUUUAAAUAGGAAUAGGGGUGCAUCAGGGUGGGGAGAUAUGGAGGAGAGAGUCCGUGUGAAGUGAUGGUGAAUGCCUUUGGGAGUGUGUGUGCAUUUCUCUAGAAAGCAUGUUCCUCUGUGCAAAGCAUGACCCAAGGAUCAAUGUUCUAGAAACAAAAUUCCAUCCCCGCAUCAGUCGACACUUCAUCCUUUACCACAGCUGUACCUGAAGGUUAGUUUAACAUCCCCGGUCCUCAGAUUGGAGAUGGUGGAGAGAUGAAUUUCCCAAGCUCUCAAUUUCCUCAAUGGGAAAGGCGAAUGUGAACUCAGGAAUGAGUGAAAGGUUGACGUGAUGGGCUGCUACUCCACAGUCCUCACGUGGCCCUGGUAUAACUCGUCACUACACCAGGGAGUUCCAGCAUCUGUGUGUGCAUGUGGAAGUAUGACAGCCUAGAGAGAUCCCACACACUGCCCAGCAUUGUAAGAUGUUCUCAGUGAUGGCGAAAGGCAGGGUAGCAAUACAGUGGACUUUGGGGUGGUUCUUAAUGUGAAACCCACAUAGGGGAGUCACAGGCUUUUGACUGCAGUGGUGGUGUCAUUUCUCAGCUCUUGUUCAAAAGCAGAGAACAAUCAGGGAUAUGUCCUAUUGUAUUUAAAGAUAUGAUUGGACCCAAUGGGGAGGCUCAUGCCUGUAAUCCCAGCACUUUGGGAGGUUGAGGCAGGAGGAUCACUUGAGUCCAGGAGUUUAAGAUCAGCCUGGGCAACAUAGUAAAACCACAUCUCUACAAAAAAUACAAAAAUUAGCCAGGCGUGGGGACAUGCUCCUGUAGUCCCAGUUUCUCAGGAAGCUGAGGUGGGAGGAUUGCUUUGGCCGGAGAGGUGGAGUCUUCAGUGAGCCAUGAUUGUGCCACUGCAUUCCAUCUGGGAAACAGAGUGAGACCCUGCCACAAAAAAACAAAACAAAAAUCAUGAUGACCACAAGCCUUAGAAAUGCUCCAGCUUAGUAAUACAAACACCCAAGAAGUAGCACCCAAUAUGAUGUCAAAAACAACUUGGGUGUUAGCCUGGUGCCCCUCUUCCCUGCUGGAAUCUCAAACAGCCGGGUUAGAGAGGGUCAGCGCCCCCACAUGCUGCUCCCAUGACAGGCUGUCCCAGUGCCAAAGCCAGGGUAAGUGUGAGCAGUAACAGACUCCACGGACACACACACACGUAUGGAAAAGAGAGAGUGGAAGGACAGAUAGCACGUGCUAAAUAGGGGUUAUCUUUAAAUGGGAGGAAAACUGAGUAUUUUCAAAGCUUUAUUUCAUUGUCCUAAAAACAAAUGGAUAGUGAAAAAAUAGAAGGUUUUGGUUGGAAUUAAAUCUUCUCUUUAAAGAAAGCCUGCUUCUUAUCGAGUAGAAAACCUCUAGGAGGGGUGAUAGUCACAGCAGCACCACUGGUGGAUUCUGGGGAGGAAAUGACCUUGGCAGGACUCAGGAAGGGAGGGCAAGUGAGCUCGGGUCAGAUUAAGAAGCAGGAGCCCUGAGAGGCUGCAGGGACACACAGCCUGCCCUGGGUGGUAUGCCCUGUUUAAGAUGGGCCAUUUCACAUUGAUGAGGCAGUCAGGGCUAGAAAGCCUUUCUUCCCUGCUCCUGCCCUGCACUUGCUGACAGUCACUAUGUGUCCUCCUAGUGGCAAGAGAUCCCCUCUUGAGGAGACUCCGCAGGAACACCAGAGAUGAUAGUGACACACAACAACUGAAGGUGUCAAGCCUGUGGCAGCAGAGCUUCCUGGGGAGUCCUCAGAGCAAGUCAUUGCCAUUGUCGAAGUGUCUUCUAGGCUUUAUUUUGGGGCCAUUACCUCGAGCACUGUUUCUUGUCUGGUUUCCUAAUGUCAGCAACUGAAGAAAAGACCUGUAUACACAGGACACAGCAUGGUCUGACGCUCACAGUGUUUUCCUUUCUCUCUGCAGAGGGAUUCAGCACUUUGGGCAAGUGGUUGCACAGAGGAUCCCGUGGAAGAAUUCAUAUAUGAAUCAGAUGAGAAUGCCCCAGGACCAUCGUAGGUCAGGCCACCUGCUUUUGUCAAAGAAAAAAGAUAACCCCUAUUUGAAUUAAAAUAUGAGAAUCUGACCAUAUGUAUCAUAGGUGACUUACACAGUGUCCUUGGUAAGGAGAAUUUAGAGUGAGAGUCUGUUCCCCACUGAGGUUUGAUUUAAGAUGGCAGAAGAAAAUGACAUCAUCAGCCACUCAGCAGCUUGAUUCUCUCCUUGGGGCAAAAUCACUUAAUUGCCAAGCAACAUGGACUUACAGGAAACAUCCUCCAAUAAAAACUUAGGUUUUUAGCAUGAUUCGAUACCAACAAGCCCUCUCCCGGCACCUGCAGAAAAAGUGGGGAAAAUCCCCGAAGAGGCAGAAACAAAACCUAGUGAGCUGAAGGAUGAGGCUGCUGAAGAGCCUGAGCUCACUUGUUGUGGCCUUUGUACUUAUGCUGGAAAUCCCUAAAGAUUCAUCCGGAAGGGCCGCCAGCCAGUGGAUUUCCCGGGCCCCUCAGCCCUCUGGAGUGUACGAGUUUUGGAGAAACCUCUUCCUCUGUAUAUGCUUUUGACUUUCCUGGACUGAUGUAAAAAUACUCUUUUCUUUGACCUGUUUAUUUUUAAGACACGAUGUGAUUGUGUCAGCUUAUAUUUUAUUGCUGAAGUAAAUUUUCAAAUGUUUUAUUAGUUUUUUUUGGAUCUUUGUCCGCUCAUUUUGGAGUUUUUGUAAUUUUGAUAGGUGUUCUUUUAUGCUUUGUAUUGUUUUCUUAAUGACUUUUACCUUAGUUUUUAACAAACCCAUAGUACAGUGUU